rnacentral:misc_RNA from 1 species
GACUCAUCCCAAAUGUGAAGUCUGUCUCCAAUAUAUCCCAACAAAUGAAGCUGGUUUGAUAGAGUAUAGAUGCCAUCCAUUUUGGUCUCAGAAAUAUUGCCCAUCUCAUGAGCAUGAUAACACGGCUCGAUGCUGUAGUUGUGAACGCUUGGAGUCUAGGGAUACAAGAUACUAUACUUUGGAAGAUGGACGUAGCUUAUGCUUAGAAUGCAUGGAA